UGGCUAUAUAGCAUGAAGGCAGUUCCCUCAACAUAUCACCAAUGACUGAAAUUUCCAACCCCGAAAGGAGUCGAGACUAUAAGAGGAAGCCAGAAGAACUCAAGGAUAUGCUACCUAGCAAGCUUCAAGGACAUCAAACAACACUCCUAAAUCAAGCAGCCAAAACCAACAACAGACGUACCCAUGUACACGAACCAUCGAACAACAGACCCAAUCCCUGGGGAAAUAAUCGAACUACGUUAUGACUUGAUCCCUCGACGAGGGUACGUAGGCAACUCACGACACGAGUCCAGUCACCCUCCAACUUCAAAGCU
rnacentral:lncRNA from 1 species